rnacentral:rRNA from 1 species
GAUGAACGCUGGCGGCGUGCCUAAUACAUGCAAGUCGAGCGAACGGACGAGAAGCUUGCUUCUCUGAUGUUAGCGGCGGACGGGUGAGUAACACGUGGAUAACCUACCUAUAAGACUGGGAUAACUUCGGGAAACCGGAGCUAAUGCCGGAUAAUAUUUUGAACCGCAUGGUUCAAAAGUGAAAGACGGCCUUGCUGUCACUUAUAGAUGGAUCCGCGCUGCAUUAGCUAGUUGGUAAGGUAACGGCUUACCAAGGCAACGAUGCAUAGCCGACCUGAGAGGGUGAUCGGCCACACUGGAACUGAGACACGGUCCAGACUCCUACGGGAGGCAGCAGUAGGGAAUCUUCCGCAAUGGGCGAAAGCCUUACGGAGCAACGCCGCGUGAGUGAUGAAGGUCUUCGGAUCGUAAAACUCUGUUAUUAGGGAAGAACAGAUGUGUAAGUAACUGUGCACAUCUUGACGGUACCUAAUCAGAAAGCCACGGCUAACUACGUG